rnacentral:rRNA from 1 species
GACGAACGCUGGCGGCGUGCCUAAUACAUGCAAGUAGAACGCUGAAGAGAGGAGCUUGCUCUUCUUGGAUGAGUUGCGAACGGGUGAGUAACGCGUAGGUAACCUGCCUGGUAGCGGGGGAUAACUAUUGGAAACGAUAUCUAAUACCGCAUAAAAUUGAUUAUGUCAUGACACUUAAUUGAAAGAUGCAACUGCAUCACUACCAGAUGGACCUGCGUUGGAUUAGGUAGGUGGUGAGGUAACGGCCCAACAAGGCGACGGCACAGGGCCGGGCUGGGAGGGAGGACCGCCACACUUGGACUGGGACACGGCCCAGAAUCCUACGGGGGGCAACCAGAGGGGAUCUUCGGAAAUGGGGGGAACCCUGGACGCGCAACGCCGCGUGGGUGGAGAAGGGUUUCGGGUCGUUAAGGUCUGUUGUGAGAGGAGAAAGGGUGUGAGGGUAGAAAGUUCACGCUGUGACGGUAUCUUAACAAAAAGGGACGGCUAACUACGUG